CUGGUUACACAACUCUGGAUACUAAAGACCACUGGAUAUGGUGAUGAAUUACAUCUCAAUAAAGUUGUUUUUAAAAAACACACAAGCACCUUCCUUGUCGCCUAUUCGGCAGAGGUACUCGGCCUUCGCAAGACAUAUGACAAAACUGUGGCGCUGGGUCACCGACUGGAUAUUGUGUUCUAUCUCCUGAGAAUUGGCUUAUUUUACAUGGAUAAUGACCUCAUCACUCGAAAUACAGAAAAGGCCAAAAGCUUGAUAGAGGAAGGAGGAGAUUGGGACCGGAGGAACCGCCUAAAAGUAUAUCAAGGUCUUUAUUGUGUAGCUAUUCGUGAUUUCAAACAGGCAGCUGAACUCUUCCUUGAUACAGUUUCGACAUUUACGUCCUAUGAACUCAUGGAUUAUAAAACCUUUGUGACUUACACUGUCUAUGUCAGCAUGAUUGCCUUAGAAAGACCGGAUCUCAGGGAAAAGGUAAUUAAAGGAGCAGAGAUUCUUGAAGUGUUGCACAGUCUUCCAGCUGUUCGCCAGUAUCUGUUUUCACUCUACGAAUGCCGUUACUCUGUUUUCUUCCAGUCAUUCGCUGUUGUGGAACAGGAAAUGAAAAAGGACUGGCUUUUCGCACCUCAUUAUCGGUACUACGUGCGAGAGAUGCGAAUCCACGCGUACAGUCAGCUGCUGGAGCCCUACCGGUCGCUAACCCUGGGCUACAUGGCAGAAGCGUUUGGUGUUGGUGUGGAGCUCAUUGAUCAGGAACUCUCCAGGUUUAUUGCUGCUGGGAGGCUACACUGCAAAACAGAUAAAGUGAAUGAAAUAGUGGAAACCAACAGACCUGAUAGCAAGAACUGGCAGUACCAAGAAACUAUCAAGAAAGGAGAUCUGCUAUUAAACAGAGUUCAGAAACUUUCUAGAGUAAUUAAUAUGUAAAACCAAAUACACAAAGGAUUUUCUUUAAAAAUCCUUAUUGAGAAUUUUUAUAGCUUACUUUGUGCCCAGUUGAACUGUGUAAAAAAUAAAUAGUGCAUUGUUUCUUUCAAAAAAAAAAAAA